CUAAGAAUCUUGCGCAAUGGGCGAAAGCCUGACGCAGCAAUUCGGCGUGGGGGACGAAGGCCCUUGGGUCGUAAACCCCUUUUGCGAGGGAAGAAGUUCUUACGGUACCUCGCGAAUAAGACACGGCUAACUACGUGCCAGCAGCCGCGGUAAUACGUAGGUGUCAAGCGUUGUCCGGAUUUAUUGGGCGUAAAGCGCCCGCAGGCGGCUUGCCAAGUUCGAUGUGAAAUCUCCCGGCUUAACUGGGAGGGUGCAUCGAAAACUGGCAGGCUUGAGGCAGGGAGAGGGAUGUGGAAUUCCAGGUGUAGUGGUGAAAUGCGUAGAUAUCUGGGGGAACACCAGUGGCGAAGGCGGCAUCCUGGCCCUGUCCUGACGCUCAGGGGCGAAAGCGUGGGGAGCAAACCGG
rnacentral:rRNA from 1 species